rnacentral:rRNA from 1 species
UCCGUAGGGUGCGAGCGUUAAUCGGAAUUACUGGGCGUAAAGCGUGCGCAGGCGGUUUUGUAAGUCCGAUGUGAAAUCCCCGGGCUUAACCUGGGAACUGCGUUUGAAACUACAAGGCUAGAGUGUGGCAGAGGGGGGUGGAAUUCCACGUGUAGCAGUGAAAUGCGUAGAGAUGUGGAGGAACACCGAUGGCGAAGGCAGCCCCCUGGGUUAACACUGACGCUCAGGCACGAAAGCGUGGGGAGCAAACAGG